rnacentral:rRNA from 1 species
UUGACCUCGAAUCAGGUAGGAAUACCCGCUGAACUUAAGCAUAUCAAUAAGCGGAGGAAAAGAAACCAACAGGGAUUGCCCUAGUAACGGCGAGUGAAGCGGCAACAGCUCAAAUUUGAAAUCUGGCCCUCGGGUCCGAGUUGUAAUUUGUAGAGGAUGUUUUUGGUGCGGUACCUUCCGAGUUCCCUGGAACGGGACGCCAUAGAGGGUGAGAGCCCCGUCUGGUUGGAUGCCAAUCCUCUGUAAAACUCCUUCGACGAGUCGAGUAGUUUGGGAAUGCUGCUCUAAAUGGGAGGUAUAUGUCUUCUAAAGCUAAAUAUUGGCCAGAGACCGAUAGCGCACAAGUAGAGUGAUCGAAAGAUGAAAAGCACUUUGAAAAGAGAGUUAAAAAGCACGUGAAAUUGUUGAAAGGGAAGCGCUUAUGACCAGACUUGGGCUUGGUUGAUCAUCCGGCGUUCUCGCCGGUGCACUCUUCCGGUCCAGGCCAGCAUCAGUUUGCUUCGGGGGAUAAAGGCUUUGGGAAUGUGGCUCCCUCGGGAGUGUUAUAGCCCAUUGUGCAAUACCCUGGAG